CUGCACGCUGGCGGCGUGCCUCAUCCCUGCAAGUCGAGCGCACAGACGAGGAGCUUGCUCCUCUGACGUUAGCGGCGGACGGGUGAGUAACACGUGGAUAACCUACCUAUAAGCCUGGGAUAACUUCGGGAAACCGGAGCUAAUACCGGAUAAUAUAUUGAACCGCCUGGUUCAAUAGUGAAAGACGGUUUUGCUGUCACUUAUAGAUGGAUCCGCGCCGCAUUAGCUAGUUGGUAAGGUAACGGCUUACCAAGGCAACGAUGCGUAGCCGACCUGAGAGGGUGAUCGGCCACACUGGAACUGAGACACGGUCCAGACUCCUACGGGAGGCAGCAGUAGGGAAUCUUCCGCAAUGGGCGAAAGCCUGACGGAGCAACGCCGCGUGAGUGAUGAAGGUCUUCGGAUCGUAAAACUCUGUUAUUAGGGAAGAACAAAUGUGUAAGUAACUAUGCACGUCUUGACGGUACCUAAUCAGAAAGCCACGGCUAACUACGUG
rnacentral:rRNA from 1 species